rnacentral:rRNA from 1 species
AUACUAAAAUAGUAUUUAUUUGUUUAUUGAACUUAAAUAUUUUGGCGGUAUUUUAGUUUAUUUAGAGGAAUCUGUUUAUUAAUUGAUAAUCCACGAAUAAAUUUACUUAAUUUAUUAUUUUGUAUAUCAUUGUUAAAAAAAUAUUUUUUAAUGAUAAUAAUAUUUUAAAAUUAUGAUAAAAAUUAAAUCAAAUCAAGAUGCAGAUUAUAGUUAAGAAUAUAAUGGAUUACAAUAAAUUUAUUUAUAUGGAUUUUAAUUUGUAAUAAUUAAAUAAAGGUGGAUUUAAAUGUAAUUUUAUUUAUUUUAGUAAA